rnacentral:lncRNA from 1 species
UUUUUUUUAUUUUGUUGCUUGUGUUUUAGAUGUCAUAUCUAAAAGAUCAUUACCAAGAUUCAUACCAAGCAGUUUUUUCUCCUAGGUUUUCUCCUAGAAAUUUUAUGGUUUCAGGCCUUAAAUUCAAGUCUUUAUUCCACUUUGAGUUAAUUUUUGUAAGUGGCAUAGGAUAUGGGUCCAAUUUCAUUCCUUACUGAAUAUCCAAUUAUCCCAGCACCAUUUACUGAAGACACUGUCUUUUCUUCAUUGACUAUCCUUGACUCCCUUGUGAAAUAUUAGUUAACUAUAUAUGUGGGUUUAUAUGUGGGCUCUUGAAUCUGUUCUACUAGUCUAUAUGCCAGUUUCUAUGUAGUACCAUACUCAUUUAGUGACUAUAACUUUAUAGUAUAGCAUGAAAUCAAGAAGUAUGAUGCCUUCUGCUUUGUUCUUUCUCAGGAUUUCAUUGUUUAUUCAAGGUCUUAUAUGGUUUCAUAUAAAUUUUAGAAUUCUUUUUUCCUACUCCUGUCAAAAAAAAAGUCAUUGGAAUCUUGAUAAGGAUUGCAUUAAACUAUAGAUAGCUUUUGGAAGUAUUGGCAGUUUAACAAUGUUAGUCCCUCUAAUCCAUGAACAGGAGAUGGAUUUCCCUUUAUUUGCAUCUUCUUCAAAUUCUUUCAUCAGUGUGUUAUAGUUUUCAAGAUAGAGAUCUUUCACCUCCUUGGUUAAAUUUAUUUCUGUCAUAUCUAAAAGAUCAUUACCAAGAUUCAUACCAAGUAAUUUUUUCUCCUAGGUUUUCUCCUAGAAAUUUUAUGGUUUCAGGCCUUAAAUUCAAGUCUUUAUUCCACUUUGAGUUAAUUUUUGUAAGUGGCAUAGGAUAUGGGUCCAAUUUCAUUCUUUAGUGAAUAUCCAAUUGUCCCAGCACCAGUAUUGGUUUUAAAUUCUAUUAUAAAUGGGAUUGACUUCUUAUUUCUUUUUCAGAAAAUCUGUUCUUAGUGUAUGGAAUCACUACGUUUUUUGUUAUGUUAACUUUGUAUCUCUGAAUAUUACUGAAUUCAUUGAUCAGAUCUAAUAGUCUUUUUGUUGAGUCUUUAGAAUUUUCUAUAUAUAAAAUCACAUAAUUUGCAAGCAGAAAAUUUUACUUCUUCUUUUCAAAUUCUAAUAUUUUUAUUUCUUUUUCUUCCCUGAUUGUUCUAAUUAGGACUUCCAGCACAAUACUGAAUAGGAGGAGGAGUGAUAGUGGACAUGCUUAUCUUGUCCUUGAUCUUGAAGAAAAUUUUCAAGUUUUCGCCAUUGAGUAUGUUAGCUGAGGGUUUGUCAUAUAUGACCUUUAUUGUGGUGAGAUAUACCCCUUCUAUGCCUAAUUUGUUAAGAGAUUUUUAUCAUGAAUGGAUGUUAAAUUUUGUCAAAUAAGGAUUCUUUCAUUCUAUUAGUAUGAGGUACCACACUGAUUAACCUGGGUAUGUUUGAACCACUACUGCAUACCACUUUAUCAUGGUGAAUGAUCCUUUCAAUGUGCAAACUGUUGAAUUCAGUUUAUAAGUAUUUUACUGAGAAUUUGUGCAUCUAUACUUAUUAGGGAUAGUGGCUUAUAGUUUUCUUUCGUAGUAGUAUCAAUUUCUGGUUUUGGUAUCAGGAUUGUGCCAACCUAUUCUCUCCUCUUUGAUUUUUUGAAAGAGUAUGAGAAAUACUGGUAUAAAUUCUUCUUUAAAUAUUAGGUAAAAUCCACUAGUGAAGCCAUCUAGUCAACUUUUUUUUGUUGUUGCUGGGAGAUUUUUGAUUACCAAUUCCAUCUCUUUACUAUCAAUCCAACUAUUCAGAUUUUCUAUUUCUCCCUGAUUCAGUCUUGAUAAAUUGUAUAUUUCUAAGAAUUUUUCCAUUACUACUAGGUUGAUCAUUUUAUUGGCAUGUUGUUGUUCACAGUAGCCUCUUGGGAUCCUUUGCAUUUCUAUGAUAGCAGCUGUCUCCAUUCUCAUUUAUAACUUUGUUAAUUUGGUUGCUCUCUUUUUCACCUUGGUUAAUCUAGCUAGACUGUUUUCAAUUUUGUUUAUCUUAUCAAAGAACCAACUAUUAGUUUGGUUAAUCUUUUCUACUGGUUUUCUAUUCUCUACUUCAUUUGUUUCUGCUUUAAUAUAUUUUUCGGUUUUUCCCUUUUUUUGGGGGGGGGCAGGCUGUACCUAAGGCAUAAAAAAGUUCCCAGUCCAGGAGUCAAACUGGAGUUGCAUCCCCAGCCACAGCAACAACAGAUAUGAGCUGCAUCUGCAGCCUGUAUGGCAGCAUGCAGCAAUGCUGGAUCCUUAACACACUGUGUGAGGCCAGGGGUCAAACCCCCAACCUCACUGACACACGUCAGGUUCUUAACCUGCUCAGCCACAACAGGAACUCCUCUAAUAUUUCUAAAUUUCUUUUCUUCUGCUAUCUUUGGGCUCAGUUUGUUCCUCUUUUUAUAGCUUGUUACAAUAUAAAGUUAGGUUAUUAGAGAACUUUCUUGCUUCUUAACAUAGGCUUUUCUUGCUAUGAACUUUCCUCUUAGAACUGUUUUUGCUAUGUCCCAACUUAUACCUGUAGUACUUCCAUUUUCAUUUGUCUCAAGAAACUUUUAAUUUUCCAUUUAAUUUCUUCUUUGAUCCAGUAAUUGUUCAGGAGAGUGUUGUUUAAUUUUCAUAUAUUUGUGAUUUUUCCAGUUUUCCUCCUGUUACUGAUCCUGUUUAAGAUGAUUAUUGUGAAUCCCCUGUAUGAGUGUUGAUAGAUCUCCUUUUCUCUAGAACAGUUAUUAGAUCUUUACUAGUUUAUUUGAUGGUGCAAUUUUUAACUUUUGUUUCUUGUUUUGUUGUUAUCCUUGAUUCCUUACAUUAGUAUCUGUGCAUUUGAAUAGUCUGAUUCCUCUUCCAAAUUUUGCAGGUUUGUUUUGGAAAAACAGAUCUUCACCAGUUAGCUCAGUUGGGUUUCUGGGUGUGUCUUCUGGUAAAGUCCAUGGUCCAUUAAAAUGAUCUAUUUUCAGUGAGGCAAUUGUUCAAAUUCUGAGGUACCACAAUGGCUAAGAAUAGCUGGGUAAGACUGCUGGUAUGGUUCUCUAUCCAAGUGAGGAUGGGCUCCACUGUUGCCUGGAUUCUCUGGUCAAGUUUACUAGAUGGUCAGGAAUGGUGCACUAAAUACCCUGCUGUCACUGUAAAAAGGUCUGUUGGAUGGGCUACACAGCUUCCCAUGUGCUCUAGUUAGGCUCCCUGAUCAGGCACACUGGAAGCUGUAUUCAGCAAUGAGGAGGGUUAUGGAUUAGUUUCCUUGCCUGGGCACAGUGGGAGAAGCAGCACCAUAGCUGGAAAAGCACUUUUUUGUGCUUUAAAUCAAGCUGACCUGCACCCCAAGUUCCCUUGCUAAACAGGCUCAUUGGCUUUGGUCUGCAAACUAUCAUUUCUGCCAGGCUUUCUCCAGCUCAAACACCAAUGGUCAUAGAGUUUCCAGAUAUUCUUGCCAGCCCUUCUGGUCAGAUGGUGCCAGGAGCCACAGUGGGUGGGGCUAUAUCCCAGCUUCCCUGCCUGUAUGGAAAGGGAAGGGAGUUCCUGUCAUGGCUCAGUGGUUAAGGAACCUGACUAGCAUAUAUGACGACAAGGGUUUGAUCCCUGGCCUUGCUCAGUGGGUUACGAAUCCAGUGUUGCCGUGAGCUGUGAUGCUGGUUGCAGAUGCCGCUCAGAACCCAUGUUGCUGUGGCUGCGGCACAGGUUGGUGGCUAUAGUUCCCAUUGGAUCCCUAGCCUGGGAACCUCCAUAUUCCAUGGAUGUAGCCCUAAAGAGACUAUAUAUAUAUUCUUGAAGUCCUACAAUGUAUAAGGCAUUAUAUUUUCUGCCUUCUGAAAUUCAAAAAUUAUUAAGACUUAAACAUUUUCUCCAGAACAGCUCACAAUCUACUGGAGAGAGAAUUCAAAUAACUAAUUUUAAAACAAGAUCUGUUUUGUGGUAUUCUGCAGAGGUAAUAGAGGUAUUCUGCCAAUAGAGGUAUUUCCUAACCAGUGCUGAGAAGAAAAUGAAGUGGUGUUAAAAAUAAAGCCAACAUAUCUCACUUAAGGGCAGGUUUUGAGAAUGAGAUAGGCUUUUGAAGUUAAUUCUGACUGUAUGCUGAGUAACAUGCUACGUACUUUGCAUGUAUAAGCUUACUGUUUUACAGACCAGGGGCCUGGUUAUAAAGUGUGAGAUAUAUGAAAGGAGAGAAAAACCAGACAGUACACCACAAAAAAUUAAAACACUAUUUCUUUCUACUUUACCAAAGAUGGGAUGAAAACCAAAGUUUCCAGAAAAUACCAUGAGAAAAUAUCUGCACAAGCUCAGGGUAGUUAAGGAUUUUCUUAAAUAAGAUUCUAAAAAUAUUAACUAUAAAUUACUGAUAAGUUUGCAUUAAAUUUAAGAACUUAUUUAUUCAUCUUUUUUUUAAGUCUGCACCUGCAGCGUAUGGGAGUUUCCAAGCUAGGGACUGAAUCAAAGCUGCAGCCACUAGGCUACACCAAGCUACAGCAAUGCCAGAUCCCAGCCAUGUCAGGGACCUAUACCACAACUCAUGGCAACGCUGGAUCUUAACCUACUGAGCAAGGCCAUGGAUUGAACCUGCAUCCUCAUGAAUACUAGCUGGAUUCAUUACUGCUGAUCCACAAUAGGAACUCCCUAAGAACUUCUGUUUUUAAAAGACAACACAAAGAAAUGAAAAUUCAGACAUAUCAGGAAAAUACAUUUGCAUUAUAUAUAAUUAGCAGAAGGCUCACCCCAAGUACAUAUAAGAAAUCCCUAAAAAUCAAUAAGAAAUAAAGACAAAAAAAAUAGAUAAGUGGACAAAAAAAAAGAGUAUAUUUAACCAAAAGGAAAUUAAUGGCCAAUAAAAACAAAAAGAUCCUCAACUUCACCAGUAAUGACAGAAAUGCAGAUUAAAACCACAAAGAAAGGACUUAAACACAUAUAUAUUCACAUAGGCACACAAAUAAAAACAAAAAAAAAUUAAAGUAUGAUUAUAUCAUAUAUUAUUAACAUACAGAGUAAUAGAGAUACCCAUGUAAUAUAAAAACAAAUGUAAACUGGUUUCAUCACUUUGGAAAAAAGCUUGCCAUUAAUGGUAUAUUAAAGGUAUAUAUACACAUGUAUCCAGAAAAAACUCUAAUUCAAAAAAAAUGCAUGUAUCCCAAUGUUUAUAGCAGUACUAUUAACAACAGUCAAGACAUGGAAACAACCUAAAUGUCCGUUAAUAGUUGAAUGGAUAAAGAAUCUGUAUGUGUGUGUGUGUAUACAUGUACAAUGAAAUGCUACAUAAAAAUAAUGAAAUAAUGCAAUUGGCAGCAACAUGGAUGUACUUAGAGAUUAUCAUACUAAGUGCAGUAAGACAGAGAAAGACAAAUAUCUUAUGGUAUCACUUGUAUGUGGAAUCUAAAAUAGGAUAUGAACAAACUUUUCUACAAAACAGAAACAGAUUCACAGACACUGAAGUCGAACCUAUGGUUACCAAAGGGGAAAAAUGGGAAAGGGAUAAAUUAGAAGUUUGGGAUUAGCAGAUGUAAACUAUUAUGUAUAAAAUAGAUAAACAACAAGGUCUUACUGUGUAGCAUGGGGAACUAUAUUCAAUAUCUUGUAAUAAACCAAAAAAGAUAUAAUGCCCAGCAAAUCCACUCUAACAUAUAGACCCCACAGAAUCUCAUGCACAGCCCUAACAUGAUAUGUUUAUAAAAUGUUCAUAGCAGCACUACUUGCAAUAGUAAAAAAUGGAAACAAUCCAAAAGCUCAUUAAAAAUAAAUGAAUAAACAAACUGUAGACUAUUCACUCAAUAGAAUGAUAAUAGUAAUAAAAAUAUACAGUGAUAGAACAUUAUAUAAUGAGUCUCAGAAACACAAGACAAGUGAAAGAAGCAAAUCACAGAAGAUCCACAUAUAACUUCAUUUACAUAAGGUUCAAAACUUAGUUAUUUUCUUUAGGGAAGCAUCCAUUAGCAGUAAUUCUAAAGAGAAGAAAGGGACACAUUAUUACAAACAUCAGAGAAAGUGCUUUCCUCUGGCGGAUAAAGAGUAGACUGUGAGGAGUUCCCAUUGUGGCUCAGAGGUUAACGAAUCUGACUGGGAACCAUGAGGUUUCGGGUUCGAUCCCUGGCCCUGCUCAGCGGGUUAAGGGACCGGAUUGCCAUGAGCUGUGGUGUAGGUUGAGCUCUGAUUUGACCCCUAGCCUUGGAACCUCCACAUGCUGCUCGGCCCAAGAAAUGGCAAAAGGAGCAAAAAAAAAAAAAAAAAAAAAAAAA